UCAUUCACGCGAACAGUAAAUUACGUAAUCAUAGAUAAAGUCGGCGCGUACGUCCGCCCCGGCCCUUGUUCUCUUGAUAAAUGUUUUGUUACCAGCUGGCGCAGGUUUUGACCACCAUCUUAAACUGUAAUUAAAAUAAACUCUUCUCAGGCAAUACUGAUACCAUUCUAUUACCACCUGCUUUUGUGUAGUCAACUUUGACAGCCCAGGGCAGAUAACUGAGACCGAAAUUACAACUUCAAAGUAAUUGUUAAUGUGAUAAGAGUAGAGCUGUGGGGGUAUAUAACUCCUUGGGUGUUGGUCCUCAGCACACUUGCUUGAAUAAACCCUAAGGACCUCACAGCUCUCUUCUCUCUUGUUUCAAGAAGUUUCCACUGGUAGGAUCCCAACAUCACAGCACCCGCCACUGCAGCACCAGUCAACGCUAAAUUAACCGAACUGGACUUCUGAGAAACGGCUGGCUUCAAUGUCAUGACAGAAACGUCAACCCAGGCAAAUAUCCUGUUGCAAACAAGAUGGCGUCAAGAUCCCUCAGAACUGUGCCGUCCUUAAACUCCGCUUCAUGAUCACCAACACGGAUCAAAUUGCCAACGAUCUUCACGCGACCACAGACAAUUUGAAUGUGUAAGAAAUCGUUAAUUAUCAACGCA